AUAAAUAACUGAACAUGUUUCAUGAAAUGAUCUGAAUAUGUGAGAAGAGAGUGAGUGUGUUUAUUCCACACAAUGACUGGACGUCGACAGUUUUCGGAGCGUAAACAAGAGCAGGAGGGUGUGUGGAUCGUGAUGACACAACAACACACUACCUGCGUGUUACACAAGAAGGGGGUGAAAGCUAUGAUGAGGUCAAACCAAAGGUCAGGGUCUGAUGUCCAGCACAGUCUCACUUCAUCACAUUAAUCCAGCCACGGAUACGGACACGUUUCACAUCCGUCCAACACAAUCACCAUCCUUGGCAAUUACAUUACAAGUGUAGGUGUUUCUCCAGCCACCUGUAACAGUGAGCUGAUAUAUCCAGGAGCGAGUGAUGGACUGCAGGUGCACCAGAGGAGCUUUGUGCUCCUCAGUCAUCAUCAGGUUUCACUUGAAGGAGUAUUCAAUGAAAAUGAAAAGGUUGCCGAUUCCAAUAUUCUUUGAGCUGUGAUGUUUUUAUGGAGACAUGUC
ensembl:lncRNA